CUAGAAGAAGAAACCUAAGGGGACCAGACCUGAACAGCUGUAGGAGCAUCUAGGAGGCUCAGCCACUGCUGCUGGGCUCUGAGGAAGGAAGAGAGCUGGCCCCAGAGCACUGGGGAUAACGCACCCCUCCUCCCCCCACUUUCCCAAUGCCAGCCUCUAGGCAGUCAGGGCUGGACCUAGAUUUUGGAGGACUUGGAGUUCCUCCACAGCCAGCUCAGACCAGAGUUAUGCUGACAACUCACAGCAAAAUUCAGACAGUCUGUGAGCAGCCCUCCUACUGUGUUCAGCCUGGAUCACCCUGGCACCAGAAAACCUGCUUAUCUUCAGCAAAGGAGCCUUUGGUCUCCUCCACCUUGGAUGACUGACAAUUCCAGAUUGAAGCCAUCCCUAGGGGGGAGAUACAGAAAGGGGACUGGAAACCCAACAGCCAUCUAGGCAGCCACAACCUCCUGUUUGCCUGCCUGAGCACCUCUCAGGCCAGGCUAUGGAGGACCACCCUGCUUGCCCAAGCCUGGAGGCUCAACAGCCAGCAGGCCACUUGGAGCAGUUUGGAAAAAGGGAUGGAGCUGGGAGCUUCAGAACUGAUGGGAGCUGCAAAAGAGAGUGGGGUUCAACCCCAGCAGAAUCAUCCCAGUCUCUGCCAAGGUUUCUGAUCCUGGAGCCUGAACCACAGCAGUAGAAACUAAAUGUCUCCCAGUGUAGACACUGAACGCUAGUCCUAGGACAAUGUCCUCCAUCGAAGCAGAGAUCAAAGAAGCUGUGAGGAAAGAAGGAGGCUGAGAGCAGAGCUGCAGCAGGCCAUUCAGAAAGGGGAACUUGAAGAGAACCCCUGGCUCAGGAGGAAGGAAGGCAUGGAACUGGAGAUAACCUGAGAACUUGCUUGUGUCUCAGUCUUCAGAGAACUGCAGGAAAGAUCUGAACACCCUGAUGGGUGGUGUAUCUACUGUACCUCCCAAUACAUGCACCCUGACUUCAAUUGAUGGAGUAUCAGCAUAGAAGCUUUUUCUAUGUUUAUUAAUGAAUUUGUUCAUUUAUUCAUCCA